GGGCUGAAGGUUUAUUUAUAGUGUAGCAUAAGAUUUUUAGGAUCGCUAGGUAUAUCCUUUUUCUUUUUGCAUCGACUAAUAUAAUCGUAAGUCAGUUGUAGUUAGUUAAGAUAUGAAAAUUAAAAAUAUUGCAAGGAAUUUGUUAAAUACCUAAAUCGGAAUAUCAGGGAUAUAAUAAUAAAGUAGUUAACAGAUUUAAGUUGUAAAUCUAAGAAGAUAUAUACGAAUAAAUAUUGAAAAAUUUGUGUAGAUUUGAUCUAAUCUUUAAUCCUAAUGGUUAGAAUAUUCCGGUUAUCUAAUUUACAAAAUAGGUAAUUUAUAUGUGCAUUAUAUCCUGUAUUUUUAUUUAAUAGUUUAUAUGAUUCAAGAACAACUAUAGUUAUAAUCGACAUUAUUGAUGUAUUGAGGUUGCAUGAAUAUUGAAGUAAAGUAAAAUUAAAUUUAUUUGAAUAUGAAAUUCUUCAAUCAUAUUGAUAUAUAACUGCAUGGAAUGGUUUAUUGUACAGAAUUCAGCA
rnacentral:lncRNA from 1 species